AGAGUUUGAUCAUGGCUCAGAUUGAACGCUGGCGGAAUGCUUUACACAUGCAAGUCGAGCGGCAGCGCGGGGCAACCUGGCGGCGAGCGGCGAACGGGUGAGUAAUGCAUCGGAACAUGUCCAUGUCGUGGGGGAUAGCCCGGCGAAAGCCGGAUUAAUACCGCAUACGCCCGAGAGGGGAAAGCGGGGGACCGCAAGGCCUCGCGCGAUUGGGUUGGCCGAUGUCCGAUUAGCUUGUUGGUGAGGUAAAGGCUUACCAAGGCGAUGAUCGGUAGCUGGUCUGAGAGGAUGAUCAGCCACACUGGGACUGAGACACGGCCCAGACUCCUACGGGAGGCAGCAGUGGGGAAUUUUGGACAAUGGGGGAAACCCUGAUCCAGCCAUUCCGCGUGAGUGAAGAAGGCCUUCGGGUUGUAAAGCUCUUUUGUCCGGAGCGAAACGGUUACGGUGAAUAUCCGUGACUACUGACGGUACCGGAAGAAUAAGCACCGGCUAACUACGUGCCAGCAGCCGCGGUAAUACGGGGGGUGCAAGCGUUAUUCGGAAUCAUUGGGCGUAAAGGGCGCGUAGGCGGUCUCUUAUGUCAGAUGUGAAAGCCCUCGGCUUAACCGAGGAAGUGCAUUUGAAACUGAGAGACUUGAGUAUGGGAGAGGGAAGCGGAAUUCCUGGUGUAGCGGUGAAAUGCGUAGAUAUCAGGAGGAACACCGGUGGCGAAGGC
rnacentral:rRNA from 1 species